AUUGGCAAUUUAUUGUGUGUUCAUGUGAAACAAAAAGUACAUUAAUGUAACUGCCUUGCGGUCAAUUCUUAAUGUCAACAUUGAUACUUUUAAUAAUGCACCAGAUUAAAUGAAACCUUGUACAAUUGUAGAAUAUCUUUCUUAUUCAAGCAAAACUGG